rnacentral:rRNA from 1 species
AGAGUUUGAUCCUGGCUCAGAACGAACGCUGGUAGCGUGGAUUAGGCAUGCAAGUCGAACGGGAUUGGAGAUGUAGCAAUACAGCUCCAUGAGAGUGGCGGAUUGGGGAGGAACACGUGAGCAACCUGCCCUUGAGUUCGGGAAAACCGUUGGAAACGACGGCUAAUACCGGAUGUGGCGCCCCGUGACAUCACGGGAGCGCUAAAGGGAGCCGCAAGGCUCCCGCUCAUCGAGGGGCUCGCGCAUCAUCAGCUUGUUGGCGGGAUAACGGCCCACCAAGGCAUACGAUUAGCUGGUCUGAGAGGAUGACCAGCCCCACUGGGACUGAGAUACUGCCCAGACUCCUACGGGAGGCUGCAGUCGAGGAUCAUUUGCAAUGGGCGAAAGCCUGACAAUGCGACGCUGCGUGGAGGAUGAAGGCCUUCGGGUUGUAAACUCCUGUCAUAAGGGAACAGGCAAGGGGUGCCAAUACCACCCUUAGUUGAGUGUACUUUAAGAGGAAGCGACGGUUAACUCUGUGCCAGCAGCCGCGGUAAUACAGAGGUCGCCAAGCGUUGUUUCGGAUUUACUUGGGCGUAAAGGGGCGCGUAGGCGGUUACUUGUGUCAGAUGUGAAAUCUCCGGGGCUCCACCCCGGGAAAAGUGGGUUGGAAAACGCGUAAUUCGAGUCGGGGAGAGGGAAUCGGAAUUAGGGGGUAGCGGUGAAAAGCGUUGAUUUCCUAUAAGAACACCGGAGGCGAAGGGCGGAUUCCUUGAAUAGUACUGACGGUGGGGCGCGAAAGUCGGGGGAGCAAACAGGAUUAGAUACCCUGGUAGUCCCGACCUUAAACGGUGUACACUCGGGGUGGGGGCCUUUCACCGGUCCCGUCUCUUAGCUAACGCGUUAAGUGUACCGCCUGGGGAGUACGGCCGCAAGGCUAAAACUCAAAGAAAUUGACGGGGGCCCGCACAAGCAGAGGAGCAUGUGGCUUAAUUCGAUGCAACGCGAAGAACCUUACCUGGAUUUGACAUACAGCUGCACGAUCUAUGAAAGUAGAUCUCCUUCGAGGGUGCUGUACAGGUGCUGCAUGGCUGUCGUCAGUUCGUGCCGUGAGGUGUUUGGUUAAGUCCACCAACGAACGCAACCCCUUUGAUAUGUUGCCAGCGGGUCAAGCCGGGAACUCGUAUCAUACUGCCUGUUUACGCAGGAGGAAGGUGGGGAUGACGUCAAGUCAGUAUGGCCCUUACAUCCAGGGCUGCACACGUGCUACAAUGGCAUAUACAGAGCGACGCAAGACCGCAAGGUGGAGCCAAUCGCAGAGAGUAUGCCUCAGUUCAGAUUGGGGUCUGCAACCCGACCCCAUGAAGUCGGAUUUGCUAGUAACGGCGUAUCAGCUACGACGCCGUGAAUGCAAUCCCGGGCCUUGUACUCACCGCCCGUCA